rnacentral:rRNA from 1 species
AGGGGUAACAGAGAUUGCUUGCAAUCUGAUGACGACCGGCGCACGGGUGCGUAACGCGUAUACAAUCUACCUUAUACUGGGGGAUAGCCUUUAGAAAUGAAGAUUAACACCCCAUAGUUUAUAUUUACGGCAUCGUAUAUAUAAUAAAGGUUACGGUAUAAGAUGAGUAUGCGUUCUAUUAGCUAGUUGGUGUGGUAACGGCAUACCAAGGCAACGAUAGAUAGGGGCCCUGAGAGGGGGAUCCCCCACACUGGUACUGAGACACGGACCAGACUCCUACGGGAGGCAGCAGUGAGGAAUAUUGGACAAUGGAGGGAACUCUGAUCCAGCCAUGCCGCGUGCAGGAAGACUGCCCUAUGGGUUGUAAACUGCUUUUAUACAGGAAGAAACACCAUUACGUGUAAUGGCUUGACGGUACUGUAAGAAUAAGGAUCGGCUAACUCCGUGCCAGCAGCCGCGGUAAUACGGAGGAUCCAAGCGUUAUCCGGAAUCAUUGGGUUUAAAGGGUCCGUAGGUUGAUAAUUAAGUCAGAGGUGAAAUCCUGCAGCUUAACUGUAGAAUUGCCUUUGAUACUGGUUGUCUUGAGUUAUUAUGAAGUAGUUAGAAUAUGUAGUGUAGCGGUGAAAUGCAUAGAUAUUACAUAGAAUACCAAUUGCGAAGGCAGAUUACUAAUAAUGAACUGACACUGAUGGACGAAAGCGUGGGGAGCGAACAGGAUUAGAUACCCUGGUAGUCCACGCCGUAAACGAU